CUCUUGACAGCAGAAUGCUCAACAGGUGAGUUACUUGUUCAGUAUCGAUGUACUCCUACAUCUUAUCUAUAUGCCAUACCAAUGUCAUCAUACUCCUUGGUUAAGAGGAUAACCAACCCAUAUAGCACACAACGACUUCUACUCGAUAAACAUCAUCAUCCUGUAAUGACAUAUCAUUUGAUCAUGAACAUGUUUAAGAAC
rnacentral:lncRNA from 1 species